UACGUAGGGUGCAAGCGUUAAUCGGAAUUACUGGGCGUAAAGCGUGCGCAGGCGGUUGUGUAAGACAGGUGUGAAAUCCCCGGGCUUAACCUGGGAACUGCACUUGUGACUGCACGGCUGGAGUGCGGCAGAGGGGGGAUGGAAUUCCGCGUGUAGCAGUGAAAUGCGUAGAUAUGCGGAGGAACACCGGUGGCGAAGGCGGCCAUCUGGACCGCAACUGACGCUGAGGCGCGAAGCGUGGGGAGCAAACAGG
rnacentral:rRNA from 1 species